GCCUGGGUGGCUCAGUCAGUUGAGCGUCUGACUUCAGCUCAGGUCAUGAUCUCAGUUUGUGAGUUCAAAUCCCGCGUUGGGCU
rnacentral:tRNA from 1 species